rnacentral:rRNA from 1 species
AUGAAAUCUAACCGUGCCCCUGGACCGGAUAAUAUCCCUGUUGAAUUCUAUCAACAUUGUUGGGAAGUUGUAGCCCCGGAAUUAUUGGCCUUAUUUGAAUGGUUUUAUGAGGAGAGAUUGGAUGUACAAAGGCUGAAUUAUGGCGUUAUUACGCUGUUGCCUAAGUCUGAUGAUGCUAGUAAGAUUCAGCAAUAUAGGCCAAUCGGCUUGCUACGUUGUCCAUACAAGCUUAUUACCAAGGUUAUGGACAUUAGGGUCAGUAAAUAUGCUCAUAAGUUUUUUAGCAUUCAACAAAACGCGUUCAUCAAAGGGAGGCAUAUUGUGGAUGGCAUAUUAUCCUUGCAUGAAGUUUUGCAUUAUACUCAUGUUAAAAAACAGGUCGGGGUUAUCCUUAAGUUUGACUUCGAGAAAGCGUAUGACAAAGUCAAUUGGGAGUUUUUGCUUGAAUGUCAUAAAAAAUGUGGGUUUAACCAAAAAUGGUGUGGAUGGGUAUCUCAAAUUCUUAAGAAUGAGACGGUUAGUGUUAAAAUCAAUGAUGAGCUGGGACCAUAUAUACAAAGCGUGAAAGGGGUCAGGCAGGGAGACCCGCGCUCCCCUUUCCUCUUUAAUCUUGCGGCAGAAUGCUUAACUAAGAUGAUGACUUCUGCCCAAAAAAAUGGCCUCAUCAAGGGAUUGGCCUCUGAUCUUAUUGAGGAUGGUGUGGGUAUUUUACAAUAUGCGGACGAUACAGUUAUAAGCUUCGAGCAUGACAUAGACAAGGCAGUCAAUGUCAAACUCUUACUAUAUCUGUUUGAGCUCAUGUCAGGGUUGAAAAUUAACUUUGAUAAGUGUGAGGUUAUUGUUAUAGGUGGGGAUAAUAAGACUGAUGCAAUCUAUGCUGAGAUGUUUGGGUGUUAG